rnacentral:lncRNA from 1 species
UUUUUUUUAAUAUGUUGCAUUGCUUCUGUGACGGAAGGGCUCUAUUGAAAGUAGCUUUAUUAUUCUGACAGGUCUUGGCUUUGCUGUUUCUGUUGCUCUAACUGAUGGAGCACGAAGCGGUGUUGUUAGUUGUGUACAUCGUAUAGAUAUUGCUCUGAAUGAAGACCAAAUUGUUUUCUGUCUGUUUUGAUAAUGGGCAGACCUGUGUAUUUCACCUAUUUUCUUGUGAAAUGUUGAUAUCUGUUAGUUGUCAUAUGCACUAUCAGCACCCUUUCUUUCUCGAUUUGCAAUCAGUCCCUCGUCCGCUUGAGGUAGCAGUGAGUUUGCCUUGGCAACCAAAGGCAGGCAGGAUGCCUGCUCUCUUGGUAAGGACGCCAAUGCUUGCUCUGCAGGAAGCCAUGGCCUGAAGCUGAACAAGUCAAAUUAUGGAAGCACAUCAUUCGAUUCACGUGUCAUGCUGCGACGUUAAUCAUUUCCUUGAUCCAGCGUCACUCGGAGGAUGCAGGACGCGGGGCUCUGAAUAUGUUACUGAGAAAAAACCAACAGAUUUUAAUGGAUCCAAUCCGAUGACGUGGCCUGUUUUGAAUUAUUGAGAAAUAGUUUUUAACGAUCUGCUGUGAGCUGAUAUGUUUUUAGGGGAAAAAAAUUUUAGUAUAGCCUCCAAUAUCUCAUUCUGAGGUAGAAUUUUUUAGAGAACUCUUGAAGUUGCUUUAAUACAUAGUUUUGGAGAAGAACUUUUAAGAAUUCUCUAAGUUGCUCUUAGUGCUGGAUUGCUAUAAUUAAUCUGAACUCGAUUGGGAGGAUCUGGUAUUGUGGUUGUUGAUUGCCAAGAUUCGGAGGCAGGCAAGAUAGGGAAGGGGCACGGGGUUGUGGGACCCUGAAGGGUAUCUAUCCCAGGCCCAGUGUUGCUUGGUUUGUUUGCCGAGCCACACGUUGCCUUGCCGGCAAAAAAAAAAAAACAUGCAUGGCGUUUUUGUGUUUGGUAAUCGAAAAUUUCGUGGUGCUCCGGGUAACCCCGAAGGAAGUUAUCACUACACCACAACUCCAAAAUACCGUCGGACCUCCGUUGGUAAAAGCUGAAAAUAACCUAUGAACGGUCCGUUGGUAAAUGGUAGUGGUGAAACCUCCAUCGAUGAUUUCACAUGUCCGUCGGUAUUUAGUUUUACAUAGCAAACAUGCCCGUACGUUGCUACGGGUCUACAACUGAAGAUCUUGAAAUAUUAUCUAUAAAUAUAUUCAGAUCCUGUCUCAACGCGUGAACUUUUUAUAUGCAUUCUUGGCAUACUAUGUCUAUAUAGCAAUUUUUUUCUACAACAGUGCUCGUGGAGAUGUUGCAGUCACAAUAAAAAGUACUGCCAUAACUUGUCUUUUUAAGCUUAACUGAUGCACUUGUCAACGGAGGUGGAAUCUUAUUAUAUGAGCGAGGUUUGGUUUCAGGUUUAUGAUUUUUUUAAAUAAAAGGGUUAUGUAAAAUGACAUCAAGAAUAUAGCAAAGACAUUACCUUACUGUUCCACCUUAUUUUGUAUAUGAGCACUCAGAUCUUAUCAAAGGUGAAAUAAAGCUUAUGGCUGACAUCAUGUGAGCGAGAGCUAGUUUAGAAAUUUUAGGCGGGUUCAGUAAUGCAAAACUAACAUAGCAAGGGCACCGAACUUCUCAACAGUCCCAAGGGAUAUCCCAGGAAAGCAUAUAGUAUAUAAGGGACUAAGGAUUAACCAUGAGCAGCCGAGCUUCCUGGAAACACCCCGUAGUGGCAUACAAAGAUUAAAAGUGCUCAGAUAGCAUUUCGAAUAUUUGCAAGCUUUGGGAAUUACAUAUUCAUUGCUUAAUAAUUAGAUCUAAUACAGAAUGCAAUGGUUUACAUUACCUUGGUUGUACGAUUUCCAUGCUCUUAAUAUCCUGUGACAAUUGACAUUCAGAGAAUCAACACUGUAAAAUAAAAAUGAAAAAUGGUUCAAGUAGUCAUGAAGGAAGUAAAGCUAUGAACAUACUAUUAUGUAAAAUGUUUUACAGCAAUAAACUCAUUAUAUAUGCUCUCAAACUAUCUACCAAGUUUCAGAUCAGUAUUGUCCGGGUGCUUUAAUUUUAGGUUGCAACCUCAAAACCUACAAUUUAUUGAUUCAUAUGUUGUAUGUCGUAGCAUUUAAAUUUCACGUAGCCAUUUAUGCAUGGAUACAUGCAGAAAGUUUGUUCUUGAUGACUGUUUGAGCACACGUCUGUGGCCCAAAACAUUAGAAGAGCAGUAUUUGCAGUUCAGAAUUAAGAGAGCUAUUUGAUUUCUCUAAUAGUUGUUAUGAAAUUUUAAGUCCAUAUUCUACAUGAGAUUAAGACAACAUUAUUAUAUGGUUGCUUUGUAUCCGGCGAGACUAAGGAUAAGUAUAAUUAAUUAUGUUUAUUAACAGCAAGUAGUUAUCUCCGACUUGUACAGGCAGCCAUAUGCUUUUCCUAAUUAGAGAGACAUGUUUCCUUCAGCUGAGUUGCCAUGGAACCCAGUUGAAUGUUACCAUUUGACACGAAUUUGAGCAAUACUCGUUUCAACAAACUGAGUACCACAAAAGAAGCACAAUUCCUUGAGAAGUAAUUAAUAUAAAUGGUAAUUUAUACAGCACAGAAGAAUAGUUCUAGAGUUCUAGUCAUUUCUCUGUGAGUAAUGCUAGUAAUUGCUGUUUUGGUUAUGUCCAGCUGCCGGUAGGAAAUUGGUGGAUAUUGAAUUCAAAUGAAUAUAUAUUGUUGAUAGAUUAAUACCUGCGCGGGGGCAUAAUCAUGUACAAUAUUACAGGCUCUUGCUUCCGUUCUUGUUAUUAGGCAUUUCUACAAACAACUUGUGUGCAGUAGAGACAAUCUUGUCAGAGGGAGCAACGGCCAUAUGCACGGACAGAAGGGAGAGCUGCGGAGGCUGCUACGGACGUCGGCGGCCAGAACGCGUCUGUGGUUGAGUCUGUGGUUGAGACGCUGCGCGGCCUCGCUGCCGCUGGCCCCGCCCGCCCCGUGCUCCAGGCGUUGUAGCCGCCAAUACAAUAUUACAGGCUCUUGCUUCCGUUCUUGUUAUUAGGCAUUUCUACAAACAACUUGUGUGCAGUAGAGACAGCUCGUCGGAGGGAGCAGCGGCCACAUGCACGGACAGAAGGGAGAGCUGCAGAGGCUGCUACGGCCGUGGGCGGCGAGAGUGCGUAUGUGGUUGAGGCGCUGCGCGGCCGCAUUGCCGCUGGCCCCGCCCGCCCCGUGCUCCAAGCGCUAUGGCCGCCAAGCAGGCCGCCACCUCCAGUGGCGGGGUACACCAUCCGGGGACCACGCCCCCGCUGGCCGCAGGUCCCAACCGCACCGCUCGGGACAUCACCCCUGCCGGUCUGGGGAGCUCGCCCCCGCCGGCUCCGGGCACCGGCCGCACUGCCAGGGGACUCCCUCCCUCCAAUCGCUGCCCGCUGCUGCUCGACGCCGCCCCUGCCUCGCCUCCCGCCAGCACCCCGCCUCCAGCGCCUCAUUCGUCGAGGUGAGGAAGGGAGAGGACCUCCCUUCACAUUCUCCCUUCUCCGCCUGGGUAGGGGCAUGGGGGGGGGGGGCGGCGGUAGCAGAGGCGACACGCCCAGGGUAGGAGGAAGGUGCGGCACGGGGAGGAGAGGGGAUCGGCUGGCCUCUCCGUUGAGGCUCGGGGCAGGGUUCGGGGGCACGGAUGAGGGAGCGCAGGCGGCGGACGGGAGGGAGAGAGACGGAGGAAAGGAGAAGCUUUUUCCCCUUUAACCCCUUCCUUUCUCUCCUUUUUCCACUCGAGCCUCCCCUCUUUAGAAUAUGGACUAUGGGUUGAUUACUAAAAAUUUGAGGGAUUUUUUUUGCAAAAUGACCAUGACGGAUGAACAAAAUUAGCUUACUUGCUUUAAUAAGUACUAGCAAAAUGCCCGCGCGUUGUUACGGUAAAAAAUCUAUUGUAUUUUCCAAACUAAUGAUAUUUUAUACCAACACAAAUACUGCCAUAUCUUUUUUUUCUUUUCGAUUCCCCAUAACAACUAUAUCCAACAUUUUCUAAGUUUAAGAAGUUGGUUACCACGCAUCAAUUCUAACGUCCAAGAGCGAAAACAUAUCAAAUUCACCUUUAAACAAUACUCCUAUCAAUCAUAUUGUUUGCUUGAUAUUUUCACCAUUACCCAAAGAAUGAGUCACCCCAGCCAUCUGAUUGUGCAAUUUAAGCAGAAAUGCCACACACGGCAAGAACUCCACGGCUCUACUUGAACAUACUUCACCGCAGGGGAUAUUAUAUAUAGACUGUAACAGAAUAGAAUAGCUUAAUGUAGAAGAGCCAGCACAAUGCAGCAACUGUCAACUGGGGAUAUUUAGGGCUAUAACAUUGUCAACUGGGGAUAUUUAGGGCUAUAAAUUGCUAGUAUGGCUGUAAAGUAGAUUUCCAUGGUAGAUGCUAGAUAACAGCCCACCAUAUGCACAAGGAUGGUCAUUUAUUAAAGCUGCCAGAUUAAAAGAUUGGAUGAUCACCAAUUCAAAAAAAGAAAGAAAGAAAAAGAAGACAGAUUGGAUGAUGGUCUUAAAUGAUUUGACUACGCAAACCCAAUUUAGUAUUUCUGCACAUCAGGUGCAUUCCUCAUGCUGCAUCUUUUGAUCUGUGCCCUUGAAUUUCAGGUAAGGUAGCGCUUCACGUAUUACCUGCUCAAGAAUUGUAAAGAAAAAAAAUACUCGCAAACACAAAACUAUUUUAAAUUUGAAGUAAGCAUCUCAGAUUUCCAUGUUCGUCAGUACAAUUUUCAUGUGUUUCUGAUACAAAGUGCAUUUGUAUGCCUGCCUGAAAUGCAAUCUUGAGAUCGUGCAACCCUCGUUAAAAAAAAAGAGAUCGUGCAACCGUAGUUUCAAUGUGAUCUGAAAGAAUUUUCUGCACAUUAUAUUAGUUAGCGCGGGGCAGCAGCAGCUAGCGGGGCACCCUACUCCGGCCUCCGCCCGCGCCCUCGCCCCUCGCCCUUUGCUAAGAAAGGAGAAGUUCUUUACCGUUUAACCCCCUCUCUUCUCUCCUUUUAUCACCCGAACCCCUUUCUCUUUAGAAUAUGGACUGCAGGUUGAUUUCUAAAAACUUCAGGAGCUUUUUUGCAAAAUAGGACAACGGACGGAAAAAAUAUGGCAGAGACACUACUUGCUUUAAUAAUAGGUAUAGAUAUAGAUAUAGAUAUAGAUAUAGAUAUAGAUAUAGACUAGCAGAAAUGCCCGUGCGUUGCUACGGGUCAUUACUUACUCUCACAUUAUUAUACAUUUGUUCAUAAUAUGUUACCUUCGCUUCACAAUAUGGUAGCAUGUUGCUACUUAUGCUCAAGUACUCCAUACUCAUCGAAAGGUUUGCGAUGGAGCCAGGAAUCACAUCUCCCAACUUGUUUCCAGCCAGGCCAAUGACCUUCAGAUACAAGUACCGACUUGCCCUCGUGUGCUGGAAUCCUCUCCCAGCAGCUCCGUGCACGGUCCCAUUGCUCCCGUACUGGGUAGUGCCCGUCAAUGCUGAAAUUGGCAGCAUUCUUCUGCCACUGCUUGUACAGAACACCGUACCUCUCCUUCCCUUCAUUCUUUAGCAGUCCCUGGAAAUCAGAAUCACCAGCUCGUCGCACACAGGCAUUUCCACAAGCACCUGAUAAGCAUUUAUGGAGGAAUCAGCAAGCUAACGGAAUUGAAUUGGGGCAAGCAUUCCCACAAACGCAAUGGCAGCACUGCAGAGACUACACAGUAGAAGAGAUAAUUACCAGUUCCCUAACUCAUUCAUGAGUUCAUCAUCAUCAUGCAAUUGUCAAGUGCAGUUAUUUGGUCCUCCAUAUAAUUUCAGCAGGAUAAUUUACCAUAUUCUCCACUGCAAAGGUAUGCAUAGUAAUAAGGAACAGCACAUCAAAAGUUACUGCUUUCCCUAACCAUUCUCUGUUCAGCAGAGGUAUGUUCCCCAGCACACUUUUCAUAAAUGUCACAUAUAACCUUAAGGGUGUCAGCUAGCUUCAUGUGUCCACCACACUCCUCAAACUCACAUGCUACGGGACUCAAUGGAUGCCUUCUCUCCACCCUCAAAUCAAGCAUGUAGUUAACCAGAUUGGUGGCUUCAUCAAACAACAAGCUUGCAAAUAAAAAAAUUACUCUGAAGACACUGAAAAUCAUAGAACAGAAUACUUCAAUAGGCUGAUGUGCCUACAAGCCAUAGACUUCAAGUUUAUUGGCAGACAAAUGGUUAAGGUUUUACCUGCCCUAAAAUAGAUUAAACAACCAUACACUAUUUACAGCAGUUAAAACCUGAACCUUGAAUGCUAUGGAUGUUGAACCAUAUUAGCAAAACACAAGAAUGAGUUAACGAUAUAGCAAAAGACAUGUUAAGGAUGAAACAAUUGUAUGCAUACAAAAGUGCAAAUUCUCAAAAGACAUAUUAAGGAUGAAACAAUUGUAUGCAUACAGAAGUGCAAAUUCUCAUCAGUAAAAUACAGUGCCUUAAACUUCAUUUUAAGCUCAAGAAUGCUACUUGAGCCAAGAUCUGUGCUACUGGGCAUCAGCAGGCAGCUGUUCUGCACCGCUGUGGCUGAAACUAAGAACACUGUCCCCGCAGAAUGCACUACAAACAAAACACAAGUUACAAUCCUAGAGUUGAGCAAAGCUUCCUGCUAUUAUAAGUUGAUAGAAAGCUUCUAUGAUCCUUCUAUAUACUGCUCGAUCAGAUAUAUGUUGCUCCCAGACCUGAAAAUAAUCAACCGACUAUGAGUAAUGCAACUCUAGAGGAAACUGAUCACUGUUCAGAACAUAGACAAUUCCCCAAAGAUGAGUGCCAGAAAAGACCAUUACUCCAUCACCAUUACGAAGGAAACAACAAUUACCACCCAAAUAUGAAACGUAUAGGAAGAUAUCAGCAAAUACUACAUAUCACAAGAGCUCUGCCUGUGCCGCACCAGCACCACCCACUUCGCCACCCGCAGCGGCGGGAGCGAUGAGCCUGGGCGAGGGGCAGUGGACCUCUCCAGAUCAUGCACGCUCGAGCAGCGGAUAUAGCAUCGGAGGGUACGCCGCCGGCCAGCGGCUGCUAGCGACGGCGGCUGCGCUGGCAUAAGAGCAUGGUGGGAUUUUUGUUCCUGACGGUCCUGUUCUGAAAUCUGAAGCUGCCGUGGCGGGGGAGAUCCAGGCGGCCGCAGAUGGGGAAUUGCAGUCAACGACCUCCGGGCAGCGGCCGCAGCGGGGAAGAUCCGGGCGGCUGCGGAUGGGGGAGCUCCAGGCGGGCGGGCGGGUGGCUCGGCCUGGUGUAGAGGGGGGAGAGGUGAAGACAGUGGUGGAGCCAGUCCAUUGCCGGGCCCUGUGGGAGCUCUGGCCAAUCCACUGCCGGGCGGCGCCGGGCCCAGAGCCAUACGGCCGGACGGAGUGCGGCGGAUCUCGAUCCCUCGAGGGAGGGGGACGAGGGAGCUAAGCUCGUUUCCCUUUAAUCCCUCGCUUUCCUCUUUUUUCCACCCAAACCCCCCUAUAUUCAGAAUUGGACUGCGGGUUGAUUUCAUGAAAGUCUGAGGGGUUUUUUUGCAAAAUGAGCGCGAUGGAUGAAAUUGCUGGUAGAGACGUUUCUCGCUUUAAUAAUAGGUAUAGAUAUAGAUAUAGAUAUAGAUUAGCCUUUGGACAGUCCGUGGGUGUUCAGCCUAUGGGUCGAACCGUCCGUCGAUGAAGGGUUUAGGCCCGGCGCACGAAAAAAAGCCCGCUUGCGAAAAAAUAAACAAAGGCCCAGCCACAACUAGAAAGGAACCCUCCUCUCUCCCGCCUGGCCCGCGCGCUUCGCCCGUCGCACGCCACGCAAAAUUUCGCCAAAUCCCUUCCGCCCAAAUCCCCUACCGCGUGCCGUCCCUACUCCCUGCGCCUUCUCAUUUGUGCCGCGCCGCGCCUCCUCUCCUCCCCUCCGCCUCAUUCUGCGCCGCCGCAUCCAGCCACCACCCCUUCUCCCCUCAGUUUGAGCCACCGCAUCCACCCACCAUCCCUUCUCAAUCCGUCCCCAGCAGCACGCCUUCGUGUCGACGGCCACCGCAUCUGGAGUGUGCGGCUUGUCCCCCCGCUGAUGUCAUCGCGGUGGGGCACCUGCUGACGGCGACGCUUCGCUCCGCCUUCCGCUGUGGGCUGACGACGCUCCUCCCGUGGUUUGUGCCGCUGCUUUUCUCGUGCUCCGCCUUCAAGCUUUAGCACUCAAUUGAUUGGCAGUGAAGUUAUUUUCAUCGUGCUCCCUUUCUUUAGCAGAUCCGCUGCUUGUCCCCAUCCACUGCAGCGUCCUCGACUGCUCUGACUGCAGUUGUCUUCCCUUUCUUUACCAGACUUUAUGCCCUUUCGUUACCUGCGCCAUGUGUGGUGUUCAGUAUUUCAAAGCUAAGCUCAUUUUGUAUGCCUGAAUAGAAAAAAGGUGGCUCAGACUUAUUGUAUGCUGAAGAAGGAUGUGUGUCCUCCAUCUCAUAUCGUGUCCCAUGUGAUUUUGUCUUUAGUAGUGUUUUCUACAUGUAUAUAAUUUUUUCUUAAGACCUGUACUAGUGGAGGAAACAUUUCCUCCUAUACAGAUAUGACAUAAAGGGAAGUUUGUAUUACUGUUUUGUAGACCGGGAAAGCCCGGUACAUUUACUUUGAUCUUAGCGCUUCCGCAUCCCUUGUCAUUUCAAAAUUCAAAACGGACCCAUUACACAUGUCAUACUUUAUACCAUGCCCACAUCUAAUUUUAGGAGGUGAAAUUGGACUUCUAGUGACUUACAAAACAAUAGUAGAGAAAUGACCUUCGAUCUUUAACAAAAAUCUCGGAACGAUUUGGACUCAGGACUAAAGAGACUUUAAUCCCAGAUCUAAAUUUCGUAGUCCGUAUGGACGUAUUUAUUCCCGGUAUGUAACACCAAUGGAUUACGUUUAGUCCCGUUGGUGUUACAAACCGGGACUAAAUACGUCUCCAUGGGUGACUACAAAAGGAUAGUAUUCCCUAAUCAAUCAGAUGUGCUGUGUAGAUGAGAUGGCAAGAAAGCUACACGCGUGUGUGGGAGCUACCCAUGAAUUUCUAAUAUUUUUUGACGUAAAAUCAUUUAGUCCCAGUUGGAUUUUCGAGAUCUAUGGCUCUCCAACGGGACUAAAACCACUUUUUCUACCAGUGCAAUUUGCGCAAAAUAGGUGAAGCUAAAGCCAAAAUAACCUCUACAAAAUAGGGCAUUAAUAAGAUAUGGAUUUGACUCUGAUAUCUUGUAUGAAGUGCACAUAAUGGUACUGCACAUGAUAUCAUGAAGCCAACACUAAUAUAUAAAUUAAGAUCAUCAAUAAUAUACACCGUAGUACUUCACAUGAUGUACCAUUAGACACACAUGUUCAUCGUGAAGAGCAACAUCAGAACAAAUAAAAUAAAAUUUCAGGGUGCUAGUUUGGUUAACAAAACAAAUACAUUCGAGGGAAAAGUUGCCAACAAUAGUCAUCAUCAAAAGCAAAAGACUGUCAUGCAUGUGGACAGUAGUAUAUAUAGAAUUAAAAAAAAUUGAGUCGCAAAUAUUGAAAUAAGAUGCGCUGAACUUUGGUACAGCACAUAUUAACUUCACAACUUACCAAUCCGAUGGCCCACCAAACUCUUAGUUUUCUACAUCUAAACUCUGGUUCCCAUAAUACGUUAGAGAAUUGGCAAGGCACACUAAAAAAUGAUAAAUCUUUUCUACCACUUCACCUAGGAUAUUGUGCAAGAAGGGAAUCAUAAAUUGUGACCAUUAGAUAAACACGGGUCUUCCGUCUUGAGGAGAAAGGAGUCAUAUGCGGUGAUGCUAUCUAAAAAAGUAUAUCACUAAAUAUUAUAAAAAUCUUUUUGGACCAUGUGGUACAAGUAAUGUAUUCCAUGGAUGAGUCACGUAGGUGAUAUCCCUCAGGUUUUAACUGAGGAAAAUGAUCUGCUCAUUGCAAAUUUUACCGAAUAGGAAGUAACGGAAGCAAUUUUUCAAAUGGAGCGUAACAAAGCUCCGGAUCCGGAUGGUUUUCCUUCAGAGUUCUAUCAAGGCCUCUGGCACAUUAUCAAGGAUGAUUGGAUGGCUUUAUUUGAGGAAUUUCACCAUGGGACCCUACCUCUCAUAGCUUAAACUUUGGUACAAUAAUUUUACUACCAAAAAGUAGUGAAGCAAGGCAGAUCCAGCAAUAUAGACCGAUAUGUUUGUUGAACGUCAGUUUUAAGAUCUUUACUAAGGUGGCCACCAACAGGAUAGCAAAGGUAGCUCAUAAGAUAAUUACACCUUCUCAGACUAAAUGUCUUCCAUGAAGAAACAUACUGGAGGGGGCAGUUAUACUACAUGAAACUAUACAUGAGCUACAUAUGAGAAAGCAAGAUGGAGUCAUUUCUAAAAUUAAUUUUGAGAAAGCUUACGAUAAAGUGAAGUGAGAAUUCUUGAAACAAAUAUUAUGAAUGAAGGGUUUUUCUGAAACAUGGUGCAAAUGGGUAGAGGCCUUCACCCAAGGGGGGAAUGUGGGGAAUAAGGUGAAUGAACAAAUGGGAUCAUAUUUCCAAACUAUAAAGGGGCUGUGACAAGGUGACCCAUUAUCGCCAAUACUAUUCAAUAUAGGGGUUGGCAUGUUGGCUAUCAUCAUUGCCAGGGCUAAGGAUGUAGGGCAAGUAAAGGGAGUAGUCCCAUAUCUAGUAGAGGACGGUUUGUCUAUGCAAUAUGCAGAUGACACUACGAUUUCUAUGGACCAUGCUAAUGACAAAGCAAGGAACAUGAAAUUAUGUUAUGUGUCUUUGAAAAAUUAUUUGGGUUAAAAAUUAAUUUUCACAAGAGUGAAGUCUUUUGCUUUGGGCAAGAAAAACAACAUGAACCAGAAUACUCUAGGCUGUUCGGUUGUAAGUUGGGAACAUAUCCCUUUUGCUACCUUGGCAUCCCAAUGCAUUUUAGGAAAUUGAGUAACAAGGAGUGGAAGUUUAUCGAGAAAAGAUUUGAAAAGAGACUAAGUGGGUGGAAGGGUAAGUUGUUAUCUGGUAGACUGGUCCUCAUUAAUUUAGUUUUAUCUAGUUUGCCGAUGUUCAUGCUCUCUUUUUUAGGUCCCGAGGGGAGUUCUUUAGAAGAUGGAGUAUUAUAGAUCAAGAUUUUUUUGGCAAAACGAUCAACAUAAGAAGAAAUAUAGACUAAUUAAAUGGAAUAUUUUGUGCCAACCAAAAGAACAAGGUGGUUUGGGUAUACAAAAUCUGGAUAUACAAAAUAAAUGCCUACUUAGUAAGUGGCUAUUUAAGCUGUGCAUUGAGGAUGGGAUUUGGUAGGAAUUAUUAAGAAAUAAGUACCUAAAGAACAAGAUAUUAGACCAAGUUAUGAAAAAACCAGGAGACUCGCAUUUCUGGAUGAGCCUAAUGGGUAUGAAGGACCAGUUCGUUAGGAUGGGCAGUUUUAAAUUGCAAGAAGGAACACAAAUAAGAUUCUAGGAGGACAUAUGGCUGGGUAACCAGACAUUGAGAUCCCAAUAUCCAUCCUGUAUAAUAUCGUUCGUAGAAGAUAGGCUACAGUUGAGGAAGUAUUUAGUUCAUCGCCUCUAAACAUCUCAUUUCGAAGAGCUUUAGUCGGAGAUAAAUUAAGAGAUCGGCAUAACUUGGUAGCAAGACUUUUGAAUGUUAACUUACAGGAAGGUAGAGAUACUUUUGUUUGGUCCCUUCAAGCUAACAGAUUCUUUUCGGUGAGGUCCAUGUAUAAGCAUAUGAUUAAUAGUGGGAUAAGAGUCAUUGAGGAAAUUUGGCGUACAAAGUUACCUAUGAAGAUUAAAAUCUUUAUGUGGUACUUGAAAAGGGGUAGUCCUUACAAAAGACAAUCUAGCUAAGAGAAAUUGGAAUGGUAGCAAGAUCCGUAGCUUUUAUUGUGCGGAAGAGACUAUCCAUCAUCUUUUUUUUUGAGUGUUCAUACGCCAGAUUACUGUAGCGUGUGGUAUAUGGAAUUGCACCACCAUUGAACUUUGAGGAUUUGUUCCAUCAAUUGUUACAACAGGCGGGGCAAAAACAAAACUCACAUUUAUUGACAGGGGUAGCGGCUUUGUGUUGGGCAAUUUGGCUCACAUGAAAUGAUGUUGCUUUUGAUAAAUGCCAACAAAAUCUUUUUAUGUAGGUUCUUUUGAGGGGAAUGCAUUGGCUUUGGCAGUGGGCGCUAUCGCAGUGCAGUGAUGAGAUAAAGGAGAUGAUGAUCCAGGCAUGCCAAUCACUGGAGGCAUCGACUCUUCGCUUUUUUACUUCCCAUGGAUGGACAUUUAGUUUACGAAUUGGCUUGAUAUUUUGGUGCUCUAUUUAAAUCUUAUGUGGUGGUGCGUGUAGUGUUGGUCUACUACUACGUGUACUAAAGUGUGGACUGAUUUUCUUUUAUUAAAAGGAUGAAGUCAGAACUCUUUCCAUUAUUAAAAACAAAUAGACAGUAGUGCAACCAAACAGAGUCGAAGUCUGCCAGACUAGAGUACCAGGUGUGGCACCCAUUACCCAUGGAUGGUUUUAUGAGGGACGAAGAAGAGCCAAAUGCAUCACUUGUACAGAGUUUGCUCCCGGCUCCAAGUUGAUGAAAUGAUCAUACAGCUCGAUCAGGGUAUGAUUGAGACAUGAGAUGCUGAUAUAAAUUUGGCGCCGAUUUUGCAGAUGGAAAAAACAUAAUGCCACCCGUCGACUCCACAUGUGCAAUCAAUAAUUGGCAGAACAGUAGUUUGUUUCAAGCAAGUCCGUUACCUGCACUGAACAAGAAACAGGUACUAAUUAAAAUGCAGUGAGAAACCUCUGAAGAAGCAGGCUCUAUGUAUGAAUCCCACUGUCCGUGGGAGCGUACGUACGUACGCACCUGCUAAAAAGGGGUUACGAUUAAUGAAAAUAAUACGUCAAACAUGUAGCAACGUACAUAACUUUCAGGUUAUUUUGUAGUAUCAACUCCUAGAGCAUAUAUGUACUCAGUUACUAUCUAUAGAAGUCUUACGUGCCAGUAUGCCACCAAUAGAUGAACUUUGGAGAGCCUCCCUAAUAACUAAUUAUAGCAUUAUAUAUAAAAUUAAUAUAGUCCCACAUGUAUAUAUAAUUAUAUAUUAUAGGGUAGGACUAGUUUCUACUUCAAUAUGCUAUGGACCAAGCCACCAUGUACUUAUAUAUAUGUAAACAGUCCAUGAGAGAUCAUCCAUCCCAUUCACAGAUGAAAGGAAUCGGUGAUUGUAGCCUAUGAAGGGGAACGGGUGAAUAAGACAAACUUAAAUACCUUAGCCUAUGAUUUCCACUAAUUUGCAUAAAAUAUAAAUAAGAUCAUGCUGUCUAGAUGUGCAUCUAUGGUUGAUCUAGUGAACCUUCCCACCCAUAAAGAGUUUUGGAAUAUAAACCAAUCCUAUCAAGAACUACACUAAGAAAGUAAAGACACUCAAGUUGCCAGUAUGAAAUGCAGAAAUGUAAAGGAGUGGGUUUGGAAGGAUACAAACUCAGUACGGCAAUUUAUCCCAUGGUACCGGUAGGCAAAAUCCACCCUAGUCCAUGUUGGAGCUCUAACAAGUAUAUACUUCUAGCCACCAAGUCUCUCCCGGUCAAGAUCUUCGACUCGCCCCAAAGAUUCUCAUGAAGUGAGAAGCUUACCACAAAGGCAAGGCUCACCACUCACUCUCUUCCAGUCACCUUGACGUCAUCUCCACUAGGGAGCUUCUUCAUGAAGGGGUCUCCUUGUUCCCCGCACAUAGUCAUCAUCACUGUUCCAUACCAAGCCGGAGCGUCGAUGACUUGCCAGUGAGCCACAAAGGCCCCAAGUUACUGAUACACCAAGCUUACAAUGAUCGUUCACAAGGUAGCAAUUUCUUGCAUUCACUCUCUCCAAGCCUAUCCUAGAACCAAACAAUCUUCUAAGCUUGCUAAGCCUUGGAUUAUCACUUUUGCACUUUUGGUGGCAUGGAUAUAUUCUUGAUCAGUAUUAUUCUUCAAUGAUGGACACUACAACAACUUCAAAUGGGUGAGUAGAGGGGUUAUAAAUGGCCCAAUAGGCUCAAGGAGCCGUUGCUCCAAAGGCUAGCUGAAACUGUGGGCAUUGGAUGAUCCGAUUGUCACCUAGCCAGCCAGCUAGCUAUCAGAUCAUCCGGUGCCCUUUUCUGACGCACACAGCCAUUAGACCAGCUGCCCAAAAUUACUCCGACGCUUCAUGUGAUGGGGCAUUGGAUCAUCCGACGCUUUAUCCAAUGGCACCAUCGGAUCAUCCGGUGCUUAAGAGUUUUUGCGUGAAACUCUUUGGAUGAUAUCAAAGUAAAUACACUUAGUCUGAUGGUCACUGGCAUCAAAGUAAAUACGCUUAGUCCGAUGGUCACUUCAACAUAGGCGUCAGAUCAUCCGGUGCUUCAUUCUUCCAAACCUUAUCUUCACCGAUUCAUCCGACGCUAACAAAUUAUAAGCCAUCGGAACAUCCAAUGUUCUUCUCCAUGUACAACCAUGCCCACCGUAGUCAUCGGAUGAUCCGAUGCAUUUAUCCGAUACCCAUCGGAUCACCCGGUGCUCUUCUACGCAUUGUACCAUUGACUUCGGUGCUUGUUGCGGUGCACCGUCGGAUCAUCCGGUGCUAUGUAUUUUUCCAAUUUGAAUACUGCCACUUCAAUACCAUCACUUAAACAUACCCACUCCUUUGGCUAUCACUUGGAUCCCCUCACUUGAAUACCAUGACUUGAAUGCCGUGACUUGAAUACCAUAGAAUAAUUCUAAAUACCAUGGCUUGGACACUUGAAUAACGUUAUUUGGAUCUUGCAUGGUUUGAUUUGCAUCCUUGGAACUUACAAAACCUACAAGGUAUAUGCUUGACAAACUAUUAGUCCCAAUGACUAUGUUGUCACUCGCUCAAUCAACAAAACCACAAAUAUGGUUAAUGAGGCAAUGUUUCUUUCAACAGUAUAUUCAUAUUCUCUCUGAAACAUGCUUUGUGGGGAUCUAAACGGAACAAAAAAAAAACUUUCUUCGCUCAUGAAAGUUCUUGGCGGUCGUUCAGGAAAGACAAACAUAUUCAACCGUAGAUGUUUGCAUUGCAAUUGUUCAAUUCCAAGAAAAGUUAGAAAUACACUGUACACUUUUUACUUCGCACUCAAAGUGUACAAUUACAUUAUAGUAUAAUUUGAAUAUACAAAGGAACACCUGAAUCUUACAUAUGACACAUAUCCCAACACACAAAGAAGUAUACUCACUCGAUGUAUAAGAAAUAUAGCUGUACUUUUAUUCUGUGGAAACUGAAGAACUUUGCUUCAAAUCACGCAAAACCAUGCAUCCAAACUCGUAGGAAUGUCCAUCACUUAAUUAGCACAUCCUUCAACUCAGUUCUUGGCCGGAGGGUGGUAGAUCGGAGUCGGGGACCCAUACGUGGGCGUGGGUGAACUGUAUUUAGGCGUUGGGGGGUGGUAUUCUGGCUGAGGUUUGGGCUCCGGCUUUGGCUUAGGAGGCACUGGUUUCUUGUGGAAGUGGUCAAAGAAGUGGUGGUGCUCAUGAUCCUUGUGGAAGUGGUCAAGCCAGUGCUUCUUGUCGAACAAGUCUUUAGCAGGAGGAUGGUAGAUUGGAGUAGGAGACCCAUAUGUAG